rnacentral:rRNA from 1 species
CCCGUGAAGUAAUUCUUAACCAAAGAGUAGGCUACUGAACAGCUGAAAAUUAUAACACAAAUGGCGCGCCAGGAUUUUGCUAGAGAACUAUGUCACUAAUAGAUAUGACACCAAGAUCUUACCUAUUGUUGGCAAAACACUUCACACACCUCCAUUGGGAGAGGUAGAAACCAGACUUCUAUUCUAUAUCCAACAGAAAAAUUUAGGUCAAGGCGUGGGAAAAACAGUAGGAGAAGAUGUAGCUCUAUUGGAAUUCUACCCAACAACAGAUAGAAAUUGAAUUUAGUAGUAAAUCACCUUCAAAAUAGGUGGKUGAACAAAACCUCUGGCCGU